rnacentral:tRNA from 1 species
AAAAGAUUAGUUAAAUUAAUAACCUUAGUAUGUCAUACUAAAAUUAUUGAAUAAUUCAAUAUCUUUUA